rnacentral:rRNA from 1 species
GAUGAACGCUAGCUACAGGCUUAACACAUGCAAGUCGAGGGGAAACGACAUCGAAAGCUUGCUUUUGAUGGGCGUCGACCGGCGCACGGGUGAGUAACGCGUAUCCAACCUGCCCACCACUUGGGGAUAACCUUGCGAAAGUAAGACUAAUACCCAAUGAUAUCUCUAGAAGACAUCUGAAGGAGAUUAAAGAUUUAUCGGUGAUGGAUGGGGAUGCGUCUGAUUAGCUUGUUGGCGGGGUAACGGCCCACCAAGGCGACGAUCAGUAGGGGUUCGGAGAGGAAGGUCCCCCACAUUGGAACUGGGACACGGUCCAAACUCCUACGGGAGGCAGCAGUGAGGAAUAUUGGUCAAUGGGCGAGAGCUUGAACCAGCCAAGUAGCGUGCAGGAUGACGGCCCUAUGGGUUGUAAACUGCUUUUAUAAGGGAAUAAAGUGAGCCUCGUGAGGCUUUUUGCAUGUACCUUAUGAAUAAGGACCGGCUAAUUCCGUGCCAGCCGCCGCCGUAA